rnacentral:rRNA from 1 species
UACGUAGGGUGCGAGCGUUGUCCGGAAUUAUUGGGCGUAAAGAGCUUGUAGGCGGUUUGUCGCGUCUGCUGUGAAAUCUCAAGGCUCAACCUUGAGCUUGCAGUGGGUACGGGCAGACUAGAGUGUGGUAGGGGAGACUGGAAUUCCUGGUGUAGCGGUGAAAUGCGUAGAUAUCAGGAGGAACACCGGUGGUGUAGACGGCUCUCUGGACCGUAACUGGACACUGGAUGCGCGACAGCAUGGGGAGCAAACAGG